GGGUGGUAAUGCCGGAUGCUCCGACUCCUCGCAUGGGGUGUCGGGAAAGAUUUCAUCGGUAUGGGAUGGGGUCGCGUCCUAUCAGGUAGUCGGCGGGGUAACGGCCCACCGAGCCUACGACGGGUAGCCGGCCUGAGAGGGCGACCGGCCACAUUGGGACUGAGAUACGGCCCAGACUCCUACGGGAGGCAGCAGUGGGGAAUAUUGCACAAUGGGCGCAAGCCUGAUGCAGCGACGCCGCGUGCGGGAUGACGGCCUUCGGGUUGUAAACCGCUUUUGAUCGGGAGCAAGCCUUCGGGUGAGUGUACCUUUCGAAUAAGCACCGGCUAACUACGUGCCAGCAGCCGCGGUAAUACGUAGGGUGCAAGCGUUAUCCGGAAUUAUUGGGCGUAAAGGGCUCGUAGGCGGUUCGUCGCGUCCGGUGUGAAAGUCCAUCGCUUAACGGUGGAUCUGCGCCGGGUACGGGCGGGCUGGAGUGCGGUAGGGGAGACUGGAAUUCCCGGUGUAACGGUGGAAUGUGU
rnacentral:rRNA from 1 species